rnacentral:rRNA from 1 species
CGUGUAGGCGGGAAGGAAAGUCAGAUGUGAAAUCCCCAGGCUCAACCUGGGAACUGCAUUUGAAACUCCCUUUCUUGAGUAUCGGAGAGGAAAGCGGAAUUCCUGGUGUAGAGGUGAAAUUCGUAGAUAUCAGGAGGAACACCAGCGGCGAAGGCGGCUUUCUGGACGAUAACUGACGCUGAGACGCGAAAGCGUGGGGAGCAAACA